CGGCGGACGGGUGAGUAACACGUGGAUAACCUACCUAUAAGACUGGGAUAACUUCGGGAAACCGGAGCUAAUACCGGAUAAUAUAUUGAACCGCAUGGUUCAAUGGUGAAAGACGGUUUUGCUGUCACUUAUAGAUGGAUCCGCGCCGCAUUAGCUAGUUGGUAAGGUAACGGCUUACCAAGGCAACGAUGCGUAGCCGACCUGAGAGGGUGAUCGGCCACACUGGAACUGAGACACGGUCCAGACUCCUACGGGAGGCAGCCAGCG
rnacentral:rRNA from 1 species